UACGUAGGGUGCAAGCGUUAUCCGGAAUUAUUGGGCGUAAAGAGCUCGUAGGCGGUUUGUCGCGUCUGCUGUGAAAACUGGAGGCUCAACCUCCAGCCUGCAGUGGGUACGGGCAGACUAGAGUGCGGUAGGGGAGAUUGGAAUUCCUGGUGUAGCGGUGAAAUGCGCAGAUAUCAGGAGGAACACCGAUGGCGAAGGGCAGGUCUCUGGGCUGUAACUGACGCUGGAGGAGCGAAAGUGUGGG
rnacentral:rRNA from 1 species